rnacentral:rRNA from 1 species
ACAGGUGGUGCAUGGUUGUCGUCAGCUCGUGUCGUGAGAUGUUGGGUUAAGUCCCGCAACGAGCGCAACCCUUAUCUUCAGUAGCCAGCAGGUAAAGCCGGGCACUCUGGAGAGACUGCCGGGGAUAACCCGGAGGAAGGUGGGGACGACGUCAAAUCAUCAUGCCCCUUAUGGUUUGGGCUACACACGUGCUACAAUGGCGUGAACAGAGGGAAGCGAGCCCGCGAGGGGGAGCAAAUCCCAAAAAUAACGUCCCAGUUCGGAUUGUAGUCUGCAACCCGACUACAUGAAGCUGGAAUCGCUAGUAAUCGCGGAUCAGAAUGCCGCGGUGAAUACGUUCCCGGGUCUUGUACACACCGCCCGUCACACCAUGGGAGUCGGAAAUGCCCGAAGUCUGUGACCUAACCGCAAGGGAGGAGCAGCCGAAGGCAGGUCGGAUGACUGGGGUGAAGUCGUAACAAGGUAGCCGUAUCGGAAGGUGCGGCUGGAUCACCUC